UUUGAUCAUGGCUCAGAUUGAACGCUGGCGGCAGGCCUAACACAUGCAAGUCGAACGGUAACAGGAAGCAGCUUGCUGCUUCGCUGACGAGUGGCGGACGGGUGAGUAAUGUCUGGGAAACCUGCCUGAUGGAGGGGGAUAACUACUGGAAACGGUAGCUAAUACCGCAUAACGUCGCAAGACCAAAGAGGGGGACCUUCGGGCCUCUUGCCAUCGGAUGUGCCCAGAUGGGAUUAGCUAGUAGGUGGGGUAACGGCUCACCUAGGCGACGAUCCCUAGCUGGUCUGAGAGGAUGACCAGCCACACUGGAACUGAGACACGGUCCAGACUCCUACGGGAGGCAGCAGUGGGGAAUAUUGCACAAUGGGCGCAAGCCUGAUGCAGCCAUGCCGCGUGUAUGAAGAAGGCCUUCGGGUUGUAAAGUACUUUCAGCGGGGAGGAAGGCGAUAAGGUUAAUAACCUUGUCGAUUGACGUACCCGCAGAAGAAGCAC
rnacentral:rRNA from 1 species